AAUGAACGUUGGCGGCGUGGAUUAGGCAUGCAAGUCGAGCGCGAACCCCGCAAGGGGUGAAAGCGGCGAAAGGGAGAGUAACGCGUGGGUAUCUGCCCUCGGGACUGGGAUAGCUGCGGGAAACUGCCGGUAAUACCAGAUGACGUCCCCGGACCAAAGGUGUGAUUCCGCCUGAGGCUGAGCCCGCGUCCUAUUAGCUAGUUGGUAGGGUAAUGGCCUAACAAGGCAAUGAUGGGUACUGGGUGUGAGAGCACGACCCAGCUCACUGGGACUGAGACACUGCCCAGACACCUACGGGUGGCUGCAGUCGAGAAUCUUCGGCAAUGGGCGAAAGCCUGACCGAGCGACGCCGCGUGUGGGAUGAAGGCCUUCGGGUUGUAAACCGCUGUCAGAGGGGAGGAAUGGGCGGAGGGUAAUCUCUUCGUUUUGACCUAUCCUCAGAGGAAGUACGGGCUAAGUUCGUGCCAGCCGCCGCCGUAA
rnacentral:rRNA from 1 species